rnacentral:tRNA from 1 species
GUUGAAAAAGUUAUUUUUGAAUGACUUAUUUACAUUAAGUUGGGGGUUUUGCCUUUUGAUA